rnacentral:lncRNA from 1 species
GGAAAUGUUUGAACCAGAUGCAAGAAGGCUGAAUAGCUUGAUCUUCGUAUGCCAUGCACUGAAGUUGUUGUUGGCUUGCAAUAAGACUUUGUUGGUGAUUAUAACUCUUGUUGGGCAUAAGUGCUCCCCUAGUUGAGUUGUCAAGCUUGAGGGUUUUUGAUUAUUUGUAAAUGCUAGGAGUUCACAUGUACAAGUUGUACCACUCGUCUUCUGGUAGGUAGAAUGAAUGGUGAGUUGCUUUCAUCACUUGGUUAGUGGUACGAAGGUGAGUUCCUUCAUCAUCUUUCAUCACAUUUCAUCUCCUGGUUGGUGGCACGAGGAUGAGUUCCUUCUUCCCCUGGUUGGUGGCAUGAAUGAGAGUACGAGUU